rnacentral:rRNA from 1 species
UACGUAGGGGGCGAGCGUUGUCCGGAAUCAUUGGGCGUAAAGCGCGUGUAGGCGGUUCAGUAAGUCUGCUGUGAAAGUCCAGGGCUCAACCCUGGGAUGCCGGUGGAUACUGCUGAACUAGAGUGCGGAAGAGGCGAGUGGAAUUCCCGGUGUAGCGGUGAAAUGCGCAGAUAUCGGGAGGAACGCCAAUUGCGAAGGCAGCUCGCUGGGACGUGACUGACGCUGAGACGCGAAAGCGUGGGGAGCAAACAGG